rnacentral:rRNA from 1 species
GAUGUUCNCUUNNACUCCUNAGNGUNAGNUAGAUCUUAGNGACCUGCCUUNGNAAUUGGUGNUCUAGUAAUAUCUAUGCAUUUCACCGCUACACUACUUAUUCCAGCCACUUCAAAUUUACUCAAGACCUGCAGUAUCAAUGGCAGUUUCACAGUUAAGCUGUGAGAUUUCACCACUGACUUACAGAUCCGCCUACGGACCCUUUAAACCCAAUAAAUCCGGAAACGCUUGACCUGAUUACCGCGGCUGCUGGCACGGAGUUAGCCGGUGCUUAUUCGUACAGUACCUUCAGCUUCCCACACGUGGAAAGGUUUAUCCCUGUACAAAAGAAGUUUACAACCCAUAGGGCCGUCGUCCUUCACGCGGGAUGGCUGGAUCAGGCUCUCACCCAUUGUCCAAUAUUCCUCACUGCUGCCUCCCGUAGGAGUCUGGUCCGUGUCUCAGUACCAGUGUGGGGGAUCACCCUCUCAGGCCCCCUAAAGAUCAUUGACUUGGUGAGCCGUUACCUCACCAACUAUCUAAUCUUGCGCGUGCCCAUCUCUAUCCGCCGGAGCUUUCAAUGUCGAAUGAUGCCAUUCAACAUAUUAUGGGGUAUUAAUCUUCCUUUCGAAAGGCUAUCCCCCANAUAAAGGCAGGUUGCACACGUGUUCCGCACCCGUGCGCCGUCUCAAUUGCCCGAAAGCAAUCUACCGCUCGGCUUGCAUGUGUUANGCCUNCCGUUGCGUUCAUUCUGAGCCCNGA